GAUGAACGCUAGCGGCAGUCCUAACACAUGCAAGUCGAGGGGUAACAUAGAAAAGCUUGCUUUUCUGAUGACGACCGGCGCACGGGUGCGUAACGCGUAUACAACCUACCUUUUGGCGGGGAAUAGCCCAGGGAAACUUGGAUUAAUGCCCCAUAGUAUAUAGACUUCUCCUGAAGUUUAUAUUAAACAUUUAUGGCUAUUAGAUGGGUAUGCGUCCUAUUAGUUAGUUGGUAAGGUAACGGCUUACCAAGGCAGCGAUAGGUAGGGGUCCUGAGAGGGAGAUCCCCACACUGGUACUGAGACACGGACCAGACUCCUACGGGAGGCAGCAGUGAGGAAUAUUGGACAAUGGGCGAGAGCCUGAUCCAGCCAUGCCGCGUGCAGGAAGACUGCCCUAUGGGUUGUAAACUGCUUUUACAGAGGAAGAACCACCCCCACGUGUGGGGGUUUGACGGUACUCUGCGAAUAAGGAUCGGCUAACUCCGUG
rnacentral:rRNA from 1 species